rnacentral:rRNA from 1 species
GACGAACGCUGGCGGCGUGCCUAAUACAUGCAAGUUGAGCGCUGAAGGUUGGUACUUGUACCAACUGGAUGAGCAGCGAACGGGUGAGUAACGCGUGGGGAAUCUGCCUUUGAGCGGGGGACAACAUUUGGAAACGAAUGCUAAUACCGCAUAAAAACUUUAAACACAAGUUUUAAGUUUGAAAGAUGCAAUUGCAUCACUCAAAGAUGAUCCCGCGUUGUAUUAGCUAGUUGGUGAGGUAAAGGCUCACCAAGGCGAUGAUACAUAGCCGACCUGAGAGGGUGGUCGGCCACAUUGGGACUGAGACACGGCCCAAACUCCUACGGGAGGCAGCAGUAGGGAAUCUUCGGCAAUGGACGAAAGUCUGACCGAGCAACGCCGAGUGAGUGAAGAAGGUUUUCGGAUCGUAAAACUCUGUUGGUAGAGAAGAACGUUGGUGAGAGUGGAAAGCUCAUCAAGUGACGGUAACUACCCAGAAAGGGACGGCUAACUACGUG